rnacentral:rRNA from 1 species
UGCGUAGGUGGCAAGCGUUGUCCGGAAUUAUUGGGCGUAAAGGGCUCGCAGGCGGUUUCUUAAGUCUGAUGUGAAAGCCCCCGGCUCAACCGGGGAGGGUCAUUGGAAACUGGGAAACUUGAGUGCAGAAGAGGAGAGUGGAAUUCCACGUGUAGCGGUGAAAUGCGUAGAGAUGUGGAGGAACACCAGUGGCGAAGGCGACUCUCUGGUCUGUAACUGACGCUGAGGAGCGAAAGCGUGGGGAGCGAACAGG